rnacentral:rRNA from 1 species
UACGAAGGGGGCUAGCGUUGCUCGGAAUCACUGGGCGUAAAGGGUGCGUAGGCGGGUCUUUAGGUCAGGGGUGAAAUCCUGGAGCUCAACUCCAGAACUGCCUUUGAUACUGAAGAUCUUGAGUUCGGGAGAGGUGAGUGGAACUGCGAGUGUAGAGGUGAAAUUCGUAGAUAUUCGCAAGAACACCAGUGGCGAAGGCGGCUCACUGGCCCGAUACUGACGCUGAGGCGCGAAAGCGUGGGGAGCAAACAGG